AGAGUUUGAUCCUGGCUCAGGACGAACGCUGGCGGCGUGCCUAAUACAUGCAAGUAGAACGCUGAAGUCUGGUGCUUGCACUAGACGGAUGAGUUGCGAACGGGUGAGUAACGCGUAGGUAACCUGCCUCAUAGCGGGGGAUAACUAUUGGAAACGAUAGCUAAUACCGCAUAACAGUAUUUACCGCAUGGUAGAUGCUUGAAAGGCGCUUCUGGUGUCGCUGAUGGAUGGACCCGCGGUGCAUUAGCUAGACGGUGAGGUAACGGCUCACCGUGGCAAUGAUGCAUAGCCGACCUGAGAGGGUGAUCGGCCACAUUGGGACUGAGACACGGCCCAAACUCCUACGGGAGGCAGCAGUAGGGAAUCUUCGGCAAUGGACGAAAGUCUGACCGAGCAACGCCGCGUGAGUGAAGAAGGUUUUCGGAUCGUAAAACUCUGUUGUUAGAGAAGAACAGGAGCGAUAGUAACUGCUCGCUCUUUGACGGUAUCUAACCAGAAAGCCACGGCUAACUACGUGCCAGCAGCCGCGGUAAUACGUAGGUGGCAAGCGUUGUCCGGAUUUAUUGGGCGUAAAGCGAGCGCAGGCGGUCUCUUAAGUCUGAUGUGAAAGCCCACGGCUUAACCGUGGAGGGUCAUUGGAAACUGGGAGACUUGAGUGCAGAAGAGGAAAGUGGAACUCCAUGUGUAGCGGUGGAAUGCGUAGAUAUAUGGAAGAACACCAGUGGCGAAGGCGGCUUUCUGGUCUGUAACUGACGCUGAGGCUCGAAAGCGUGGGGAGCAAACAGGAUUAGAUACCCUGGUAGUCCACGCCGUAAACGAUGAGUGCUAAGUGUUGGAGGGUUUCCGCCCUUCAGUGCUGCAGCUAACGCAUUAAGCACUCCGCCUGGGGAGUACGACCGCAAGGUUGAAACUCAAAGGAAUUGACGG
rnacentral:rRNA from 1 species